AUUGAACGCUGGCGGCAGGCCUAACACAUGCAAGUCGAACGGUAACAGGAAACAGCUUGCUGUUUCGCUGACGAGUGGCGGGCGGGUGAGUAAUGUCUGGGAAACGGCCUGAUGGAGGGGGAUAACUACUGGAAACGGUAGCUAAUACCGCAUAACGUCGCAAGACCAAAGAGGGGGACCCUCGGGCCUCUUGCCAGCGGAUGUGCCCAGAUGGGAUUAUCUUGUGGGUGGGGUAACGGCUCACCAAGGCGACGAUCCCUAGCUGGUCUGAGAGGAUGACCAGCCACACUGGAACUGAGACACGGUCCAGACUCCUACGGGAGGCAGCAGUGGGGAAUAUUGCACAAUGGGCGCAAGCCUGAUGCAGCCAUGCCGCGUGUAUGAAGAAGGCCUUCGGGUUGUAAAGUACUUUAAGCGGGGAGGAAGGGAGUAAAGUUAAUACCUUUCCUCAUUGACGUUACCCGCAGAAGAAGCACCGGCUAACUCCGUG
rnacentral:rRNA from 1 species